UACGGAGGGUGCGAGCGUUAAUCGGAAUUACUGGGCGUAAAGCGCGCGUAGGCGGCUUUGCAAGUCGGGUGUGAAAUCCCCAGGCUUAACCUGGGAACUGCAUUCGAGACUGCAUUGCUAGAGUAUGGGAGAGGGAAGUGGAAUUUCCGGUGUAGCGGUGAAAUGCGUAGAUAUCGGGAGGAACACCUGUGGCGAAAGCGGCUCUCUGGACCACAACUGACGCUGAGGCGCGAAAGCGAGGGGAGCAAACAGG
rnacentral:rRNA from 1 species